rnacentral:rRNA from 1 species
CAAUAGCGUAUAUUAAAGUUGUUGCGGUUAAAAAGCUCGUAGUUGGAUUUCUGCUGAGGAUGACCGGUCCGUCCUCUGGACAGGCAUCUGGCUCAGCCUUGGCAUCUUCCUGAAGAACGUAGCUGCACUUGACUGUGUGGUGCGGUAUUUAGGACAUUUACUUUGAGGAAAUUAGAGUGUUUCAAGCAAGCGCACGCCUUGAAUACAUUAGCAUGGAAUAAUAAGAUAGGACCUCGGUUCUAUUUUGUUGGUUUCUAGAGCUGAGGUAAUGAUUGAUAGGGAUAGUUGGGGGCAUUCGUAUUUAACUGUCAGAGGUGAAAUUCUUGGAUUUGUUUAAGACGGACUACUGCGAAAGCAUUUGCCAAGGAUGUUUNCAUUG